rnacentral:rRNA from 1 species
CCUACGGGAGGCUGCAGUAGGGAAUAUUGCUCAAUGGGGGAAACCCUGAAGCAGCAACGCCGCGUGGAGGAUGAAGGUUUUCGGAUUGUAAACUCCUUUUGUUAGAGAAGAUAAUGACGGUAUCUAACGAAUAAGCACCGGCUAACUCCGUGCCAGCAGCCGCGGUAAUACGGAGGGAGCAAGCGUUACUCGGAAUCAUUGGGCGUAAAGAGCGCGUAGGCGGGAUAGAAAGUCAGAUGUGAAAUCCUAUGGCUUAACCAUAGAACUGCAUUUGAAACUGUUCUUCUAGAGUAUGGGAGAGGUAGGUGGAAUUCGUGGUGUAGGGGUAAAAUGCGUAGAGAUCAAGAGGAACACUCAUUGCGAAGGCGACCUGCUAGAACAUAACUGACGCUGAUGCGCGAAAGCGUGGGGAGCAAACAGGAUUAGAUACCCCAGUAGUC